CAGGAUGAACGCUAGCUACAGGCUUAACACAUGCAAGUCGAGGGGCAGCAUUGGGAUAGCUUGCUAUUCAGAUGGCGACCGGCGCACGGGUGAGUAACGCGUAUCCAACCUUCCUGCCAGUAGGGAACAGCCCGGCGAAAGUCGGAUUAAUGCCCUAUGUUCUUCAAUGCGGACAUCUAAGUUGAAGGAAAGAUUCAUCGCUGGCAGAUGGGGAUGCGUCCGAUUAGCUUGCCGGCGGGGUAACGGCCCACCGGGGCGACGAUCGGUAGGGGUUCUGAGAGGAAGGUCCCCCACACUGGUACUGAGACACGGACCAGACUCCUACGGGAGGCAGCAGUGAGGAAUAUUGGUCAAUGGGCGUAAGCCUGAACCAGCCAAGUAGCGUGCAAGGAUGACGGCCCUACGGGUUGUAAACUGCUUUUAUGCGGGGAUAAAGUGCGGCACGUGUGCCGCUUUGCAGGUACCGCAUGAAUAAGGACCGGCUAAUUCCGUGCCAGCCGCUGC
rnacentral:rRNA from 1 species